GUGCUAUGGCAUGAGGGUCACAGCCUCUCGGUACAGCGCAGUUCUCUAUGUCCCACCAAACUGAUGUCUUGGCACGCACAUACUGUGCGUCUGCUCCUCCUCCUCCUCCUCCUCUGUCCAUUGCUGACAUAUAUCUCCGAUAAUCACGGAGAGAAGGGGGAAAGACGACCUCUUUAUGCAUUCCUGUGUGUGUUGUGGUUUGGUCAUUGGUGACUUUACAAGGUUGUGAUUGGUACGUUUAAAGGAGGAGUAGAUGGAAAACUUAAGGGGGCUAAGUGUUUAUUUAUGUAUUUUUGAGGCAUGUCUUCAAAAGGUAAAGAUUUUCCUCCUUUUUUUCUUUUUCCUUUUUUCUGGUAGAGAUGGUGGAGGAAACUAAAGAGCACGAGGCAAUGGUAUUUGAUGAGAAGUGAAGCUAAAAUUGAAUUGCAUACAUCACUGGCUACUGAAUUUGAUGCAGAGAAGUUGGAGAGUUUUAUUAGUGAAGUUAAUUUUGGGACUGCAAGUGAAGACUGUGCUUCGUAUAUUGUGCUUUCUCCGAACUCGAAUGGUUAGUCUUCAGGUCGAAAAAUUAUUCCAUCUGGAGACUGGAGAUUAGAUUCUGGAGGACAGAAGAAUGAUUACAAACAAAAGGAAAGAGGAGACGAUCACUUUGACGGUAGAGGAUCAAGUAAUUGGCGUCAGCAUCUUCACCGGUUUAUGGAGUAGCUAGUGGGUAUAUGAUGCAGCCUCCACCGUAAAGAAUUGUCAAAUUCACUUGUUAGAACAAUUCGGGAAAAAAUUAAUCAAUUAUCCCUAUAAAUUAUGUUUUUAAUAUAUCAUCCUUAUAAAUAUAUUUCUACUACUAA